UGUGAAUCCCCUCUUUAGGAACCUGGAAAUUCCAAUGCAUGAAGGAAAACUGUUUACAUGAAAGAAAACUAUUGGGGAGAGAUCAAGAACCAUGACUGCAUGCAAAGCUUUCCUUGGCUGAAGGCAUCAAGGAGGCAUCAAGCCACAGGAGAGAGUAUCCUGGCUUGCAGUUCAAAGGCCUUUCCACAGUGACGCCAGCACACUUGUUCAUUGAUGUUCCAUUCUGGCCUUGCUCUGCCAGAUCCACCCAGAGAAGACUGAAGCCAAGAACAAACAGGGGCUCAAAAAGGUGGGCUUUCUUUGAGGCAUCCUCAGGUGUGAGGUCCUGAAGAAGGAUGCAGGUUGUGCUUCAGAUUUGUGUAAGUGCUUUGAGUUCAUCAGGCUUCUUGAAAAGGUGGAAAUGCCAUCACAUGCUCAGAACCAAGGGUACCAACAGCAGAGAUAUUUCUGUGGCAAAAAAAAAAGUCCUUUUUUUUUUUUUUUCUUUUCCA